CUGGCUCCCUCUGCACCCACCUGGUCCUCCGGGCGCGUUGGAAACUCAGCUUCCGGGGUGCCUGGCCCACUCCAAACACCUGCUUUCGACCCCUCAGGUCUCCUGGGCACGCGUGGCAGUGACCGCGACACACGGCUGGACACAGCUCGGCGUCAAUUUCAACGGAGAACCAGAGAGUGAGAUUUGUCCUGUUCCUCACACGCGUCCACACCCCUCAGCAGCCGAGCGGCCGUGCACAGGCCUUGGCAUCGCGCCUCUCCUUCGGGCAUACCCUUGAAGUCCUGCUGCCGAAUCCCACACCGGGGUGACAAGGCACUUGCCCCUGAAGCCGGAGUGAGGAUAGAAGCACCAAG